CAUAUUUUUUUAUAAGUUUAAAAAUAUUAAGUAUCCUUUUUAAAAUUAAAAUCGUGAAAUAAUUGACUGGUGCUGCGGUACUUUGUCCCCUGAUGUCUGAUGACGCCUCUGUCGCCGCCCGCCGAAUCGAGGACGAGGCUUUCUCCACCGCCUCUGCUUUUGCCUCUCCCGACGAUGACGGUAUCGAGAUUAUUCAGCUCUCCUCGAAGGAGAUCAGCAACCUCAUGCUCUAAACUGUCAAGGCCAGAGCUGUUCUCGAUAAUGAUGUCUCAAAGACGCCAGCCUCGGGCGUACCUGCUCCCUCUCACGGGGAGGGUGUCUCUGCUACCGAGUCUGAGUCUUAGUCUUGAUUCUUAUGACCUUUGCCAUUUCUUGUGUUUUUAGGAUGUGUUUGGUUGGAAGGUCAAGGGUGAGGACCUCUUCCCUUUCCUUUCCUCAGUUUGACUCCUCUAAAUUGAGGUAAAUUUUCUGAAUGAUUUAUUCUUCCUCAUUUUAUUAUAUUCCACAAUUGCCCAUAAGUGAAAAACACAAGAUAUGAACUCUGCAUCCAUAUUCUCCAUCGGUUUGCUUGUUGCUCUUGCCGUUUUUAAUCCCAGCACCGUCUAGCUCGUCCCCAUAUCGCCGUUGCGUUUCCAGAUCCGGCCAGAGUGAUUCACUACUAAAACUUCGACUUAGAGGAUUGUAAUUCGCAGGACAACCAGAAGCACAAGGUAAAGAAAAAGAAGAUCAUAUUCAGUCUAUAAUGGUGAACUCGUUCUCACAUAUUGAGCCUUGCACAGACGCAAUACGACAAUUUGAUCUGUUUCUGUAGCAUGGUACGUGCUCAAGGUGUAAAUUGUUUUUUUAAAAUCAAAUUGUCACUGCUUGUUUAGUUUUAUACAUUAUGCUGCUCUUGAGCUUAAGGGGAUCUUGAGUCCGGAAUAGCUGUCUAUCAAGAGUGGGGUUCUGUCACAAAUGGGCCUGAUUAUAAGGGGCCAGAUCCUGUAAAGGUCCAGAACCAGAUUACUAAUAAUGGGAUGCUAGAGAAUGUUGAGUCAGCCGAGAACGUUGAGGCUCAUGACUGUUCACGCUGAGGAGGACAUGCAAGAUCAAGUGCCUACGAUGCCAACGGUGCCCUGCAGAAGCAACCACUCAAGGAGAAUCAUGUGGAAGCUGAGAGAGGCUAGGGAGGGGCAGGGAAGUUAUGUAAAGACGUCGAGGAUCUGUUAGAGGGUGUGCUUUGAGUGUUUGAGUCUUCCCCUCCGUUAUUUUGCAAGUUUUUUCCAUUCUGUAAUUCGCUUCUGGUUCUUCUGUUUUCUCCUCUCUGUGACUGAACUUUUUGUAAAUAAUACCUUGAGCUGGUUGAUAUCC